rnacentral:rRNA from 1 species
AAGACCACAGGGAUUCCCCUAGUAACGGCGAGUGAAGCGGGAACAGCUCAAAUUUGAAAUCUGGCCCUUGGGUCCGAGUUGUAAUUUGCAGAGGAUGCUUUUGGUGCGGUGCCUUCCGAGUUCCCUGGAACGGGACGCCUUAGAGGGUGAGAGCCCCGUACGGUUGGACACCAAGCCUAUGUAAAGCUCCUUCGACGAGUCGAGUAGUUUGGGAAUGCUGCUCAAAAUGGGAGGUAUAUUUCUUCUAAAGCUAAAUAUUGGCCAGAGACCGAUAGCGCACAAGUAGAGUGAUCGAAAGAUGAAAAGCACUUUGAAAAGAGGGUUAAAUAGCACGUGAAAUUGUUGAAAGGGAAGGAUUUAUGACCAGACUUUUUCUGGGGGGAUCAUCCGGUGUUCUCACCGGUGCACUUCCCCCAGUUGAGGCCAGCAUCGGUUUCUGUCGAGGGAUAAAAGCUUUAGGAAUGUGGCUCCUUUCGGGGAGUGUUAUAGCCUGUUGCAUAAUACCUUGACGGGGACCGAGGUUCGCGCAUUGCAAGGAUGCUGGCGUAAUGGUUAUUAAUCACCCGUCUUGAAACACGGACCAAGGAGUCGAACAUUUGUGCGAGUGNGGGGGGGUGGGAAAA